rnacentral:rRNA from 1 species
GACGUAGGAGGCGAGCGUUGUCCGGAUUCAUUGGGCGUAAAGAGCGCGCAGGCGGCUUGGUAAGUCGGAUGUGAAAUCCCGAGGCUCAACCUCGGGUCUGCAUCCGAUACUGCCCGGCUAGAGGUAGGUAGGGGAGAUCGGAAUUCCUGGUGUAGCGGUGAAAUGCGCAGAUAUCAGGAGGAACACCGGUGGCGAAGGCGGAUCUCUGGGCCUUACCUGACGCUCAGGCGCGAAAGCUAGGGGAGCAAACGGG